rnacentral:rRNA from 1 species
GACAGAGGGUGCAAACGUUGUUCGGAAUUACUGGGCGUAAAGCGCGUGUAGGCGGUUUCGUAAGUCGGAUGUGAAAGCCCCGGGCUCAACCCGGGAAGUGCACUCGAUACUGCGAAGCUAGAGUACUGGAGAGGUUGGUGGAAUUCUCGGUGUAGAGGUGAAAUUCGUAGAUAUCGAGAGGAACACCGGUGGCGAAGGCGGCCAACUGGACAGAUACUGACGCUGAGACUCGAAAGCGUGGGGAGCAAACAGG